rnacentral:rRNA from 1 species
UACGGAGGGGGCUAGCGUUGCUCGGAAUCACUGGGCGUAAAGGGUGCGUAGGCGGGUCUUUAAGUCAGGGGUGAAAUCCUGGAGCUCAACUCCAGAACUGCCUUUGAUACUGAAGAUCUUGAGUUCGGGAGAGGUGAGUGGAACUGCGAGUGUAGAGGUGAAAUUCGUAGAUAUUCGGAGGAACACCAGUGGCGAAGGCGGCUCACUGGUCCAUUACUGACGCUGAGGUGCGAAAGCGUGGGGAGCAAACAGG